GAACGCUGGCGGCAGGCCUUAUACAUGCAAGUCGAGCGCAUCCUUCGGGAUGAGCGGCGGACGGGUGAGUAACGCGUGGGAAUGUGCCCUUCUCUACGGAAUAGCCACUGGAAACGGUGAGUAAUACCGUAUACGCCCUCAGGGGGAAGGAUUUAUCGGAGAAGGAUCAGCCCGCGUUAGAUUAGGUAGUUGGUGGGGUAACGGCCUACCAAGCCUACGAUCUAUAGCUGGUUUUAGAGGAUGAUCAGCCACACUGGGACUGA
rnacentral:rRNA from 1 species